UACGUAGGGUGCGAGCGUUAAUCGGAAUUACUGGGCGUAAAGCGUGCGCAGGCGGUUGUGCAAGACAGGGGUGAAAUCCCCGGGCUUAACCUGGGAAUGGCCUUUGUGACUGCACGGCUAGAGUGUGUCAGAGGGGGGUAGAAUUCCACGUGUAGCAGUGAAAUGCGUAGAGAUGUGGAGGAAUACCGAUGGCGAAGGCAGCCCCCUGGGAUAACACUGACGCUCAUGCACGAAAGCGUGGGGAGCAAACAGG
rnacentral:rRNA from 1 species